CCACCCCCUCCCUGUCCAGAGCUCAGCCUGGAUGACAGCUGUGCAGAGGCCCAGGACGGGGAGCUGGACGGGCUGUGGACGACCAUCACCAUCUUCAUCAGCCUCUUCCUGCUCAGCGUGUGCUACAGUGCCACUGUCACUCUCUUCAAGGUGAACUGGAUCUUCUCCUCGGUGGUGGAGCUGAAGCCGACCAUCGCCCCUGACUACAGGAACAUGAUCGGGCAGGGGGCCUAGGCCACCUCCUGCAAGGGGCCCAGGGCCUCCCAGACGGAGGACCAUCCAUCAUGGCCAGCAGCCUGGCUCCCCAGCCACGCCUGCCCUCGGACCUCAUUGCCCUCUGACCCUGCGACUCACUGACCCUGCAGCCCUGCUCCUGCCCUUUGGAGGACCUCUGGAGAGCAGGCUCUACCCCCAGACUUCAGCAGCCUGGACACAGACCACCCCUGGCCCAAGACACUG